GCCCAGGUGGCGGAACUGGCAGACGCGCUAGCUUGAGGGGCUAGUUCUCUUCGGGGAGUGGAGGUUCGAAUCCUCUCCUGGGCA
rnacentral:tRNA from 1 species